CUGCGAAGACUGCCGGUGAUAAACCGGAGGAAGGUGGGGAUGACGUCAAGUCAGCAUGGCCUUUAUGUCUGGGGCUACACACGUGCUACAAUGGCCGGUACAGAGCGUCGCGAACUCGCGAGGGUGAGCUAAUCGCACAAAACCGGUCUCAGUUCGGAUUGCAGGCUGCAACUCGCCUGCAUGAAGCUGGAAUCGCUAGUAAUCGCGGAUCAGCAUGCCGCGGUGAAUACGUUCCCGGGCCUUGUACACACCGCCCGUCACAUCACGGGAGUGGGCUGUACUAGAAGUCGCUGGGCCAACCUGCUUCGGCAGGAGGUAAGCGCCGACGGUAUGGUUCAUGACUGGGGUGAAGUCGUAACAAGGUAGCUGUAGGAGAACCUGUGGCUGGAUCACCUCCUUUCUA
rnacentral:rRNA from 1 species